AGUGAAGCAGCUGUGUGGUUUUCUGGAGAGUCCAGGGUGUGGACUUGAAACUCUGAGAUUGAUGAGCUGUGGUUUGUCAGAGAUCAGCUGUGAUUAUCUGGCAGCAGCACUAAAGUCCAACCCCUCCAGUCUGAGAGAGCUGUACCUGUGGGAAAACAACCUACAGUAUCCAGAUGUGAAGCAGCUGUCUGAUCUUAAGAAGAGUCCAGACUGCAGACUGGAGACUCUGUGGUGGAGCCGAUGGUAAACAGGCCGGUGUGUGUGCUGAGAGAUGAUGAUAUGUGUCCU